CCUACGGGAGGCAGCAGUGGGGAAUAUUGCACAAUGGGGGAAACCCUGAUGCAGCGACGCCGCGUGAGUGAAGAAGUAUUUCGGUAUGUAAAGCUCUAUCAGCAGGGAAGAAAAUGACGGUACCUUAUUAAGAAGCCCCGGCUAACUACGUGCCCGCAGCCGCGGUAAUACGUAGGGGGCAAGCUUUAUCCGGAUUUACUGGGGGUCAAGGGGGCGUAGACGGCAGCACAAGUCUGGAGUGAAAUGCCGGGCUUAACCCCGGAACUGCUUUGGAAACUGUGCAGCUAGAGUGCAGGAGAGGUAAGUGGAAUUCCUAGUGUAGCGGUGAAAUGCGUAGAUAUUAGGAGGAACACCAGUGGCGAAGGCGGCUUACUGGACUGUAACUGACGUUGAGGCUCGAAAGCGUGGGGAGCAAACAGGAUUAGAUACCCGUGUAGUC
rnacentral:rRNA from 1 species